CAGGCUUAACACAUGCAAGUCGAGGGGCAGCGGAGGUGAGUGCUUGCACUUGCCAGACGGCGACCGGCGCACGGGUGAGUAACACGUAUGCGACCUGCCCGUAGCAGGGGGAUAAGCGGAAGAAAUUCCGUCUAAUACCGCGUAAUAUCUUUCGGGGGCAUUCCUGAGGGAUUAAAGGAAGUGAUUCCGGCUACGGAUGGGCAUGCGGCGCAUUAGCUAGUCGGCGGGGUAACGGCCCACCGAGGCGACGAUGCGUAGGGGUUCUGAGAGGAAGGUCCCCCACACUGGUACUGAGACACGGACCAGACUCCUACGGGAGGCAGCAGUGAGGAAUAUUGGUCAAUGGGCGAGAGCCUGAACCAGCCAAGUCGCGUGAGGGAAGACGGUCCUAUGGAUUGUAAACCUCUUUUGUCGGGGAGCAAAAAGGCCUCGUGAGGCCACAAGCGAGAGUACCCGAAGAAAAAGCAUCGGCUAACUCCGUGCCAGCAGCCGCGGUAAUACGGAGGAUGCGAGCGUUAUCCGGAUUUAUUGGGUUUAAAGGGUGCGUAGGCGGACUGGAAAGUCAGCGGUAAAAUCGAGAGGCUCAACCUCUUUCCGCCGUUGAAACUGUCGGUCUUGAGUGGGCGAGAAGUAUGCGGAAUGCGUGGUGUAGCGGUGAAAUGCAUAGAUAUCACGCAGAACUCCGAUUGCGAAGGCAGCAUACCGGCGCCCGACUGACGCUGAGGCACGAAAGCGUGGGUAUCGAACAGGAUUAGAUACCCUGGUAGUCCACGCAGUAAACGAUGAAUACUAAUUGUCCGGUCAGAAUGAUGACUGGGUGAUACAGCGAAAGCGUUAAGUAUUCCACCUGGGGAGUACGCCGGCAACGGUGAAACUCAAAGGAAUUGACGGGGGCCCGCACAAGCGGAGGAACAUGUGGUUUAAUUCGAUGAUACGCGAGGAACCUUACCCGGGCUCAAACGUAGAGUGACAGACGGUGAAAGCCGUUCUCCCUUCGGGGCAGUCUACGAGGUGCUGCAUGGUUGUCGUCAGCUCGUGCCGUGAGGUGUCGGCUUAAGUGCCAUAACGAGCGCAACCCCCAUCUACAGUUGCUAACAGGUAAAGCUGAGGACUCUGUGGAGACUGCCGGCGCAAGCUGUGAGGAAGGCGGGGAUGACGUCAAAUCAGCACGGCCCUUACGUCCGGGGCGACACACGUGUUACAAUGGCAGGUACAGCGGGAAGCCAUAUGGCGACAUAGAGCGGAACCCGAAAACCUGUCUCAGUUCGGAUUGGAGUCUGCAACUCGACUCCAUGAAGCUGGAUUCGCUAGUAAUCGCGCAUCAGCCACGGCGCGGUGAAUACGUUCCCGGGCC
rnacentral:rRNA from 1 species